GACGAACGCUGGCGGCGUGCUUAACACAUGCAAGUCGAGCGGUAAGGCCUUUCGUGGUACACGAGCGGCGAACGGGUGCGUAACACGUGGGUGAUCUGCCCUGCACUUCGGGAUAAGCCUGGGAAACUGGGUCUAAUACCGGAUAUGACCUCCUAUCGCAUGGUGGGUGGUGGAAAGAUUUAUCGGUGCAGGAUGGGCCCGCGGCCUAUCAGCUUGUUGGUGGGGUAAUGGCCUACCAAGGCGACGACGGGUAGCCGACCUGAGAGGGUGACCGGCCACACUGGGACUGAGACACGGCCCAGACUCCUACGGGAGGCAGCAGUGGGGAAUAUUGCACAAUGGGCGAAAGCCUGAUGCAGCGACGCCGCGUGAGGGAUGACGGCCUUCGGGUUGUAAACCUCUUUCAGCAGGGACGAAGCGCAAGUGACGGUACCUGCAGAAGAAGCACCGGCUAACUACGUG
rnacentral:rRNA from 1 species